rnacentral:rRNA from 1 species
ACGGAAGGCGGCAGUGAGGAAUAUUGGUCAAUGGACGGAAGUCUGAACCAGCCAAGUAGCGUGAGGGAUGACAGUCCUAUGGGUUGUAAACCUCUUUUGUCGGGGAAUAAAGUGUGCCAUGUAUGGUAUUUUGCAUGUACCCGUCGAAUAAGGAUCGGCUAACUCCGUGCCAGCAGCCGCGGUAAUACGGAGGAUCCGAGCGUUAUCCGGAUUUAUUGGGUUUAAAGGGAGCGUAGGCGGAAGGUCAAGUCAGCUGUGAAAUGUAGUCGCUCAACGUCUGCACUGCAGUUGAAACUGGCCUCCUUGAGUGCGUAAGAGGCGGGCGGAAUUCGUCGUGUAGCGGUGAAAUGCUUAGAUAUGACGAAGAUCUCCGAUUGCGAAGGCAGCUCGCUGGGCCGCAACUGACGCUGAAGCUCGAAGGUGCGGGUAUCAAACAGGAUUAGAUACCCUGGUA